rnacentral:misc_RNA from 1 species
AGGGUGUUUGCUGUGUUGUGUGUUGCUUGCGGUGCCGGUCUCUGCUGGUUUAGUCCACAAGUUGCAGGCUGAAGGAUUAUCCCCACGUUUACCUUCCAUUGAAGAUAUAGCGUGAACUGAUAAAGAUUUUGACGGUCUUGACAAACUCCUUGUUAUUGUUCGAAAAGUGUUUGAAAUGUCUAAUAGUGGUGGUGACAAUAGCAACUUAGGUUCUUCUUCUU